rnacentral:lncRNA from 1 species
AUGUUCUGGAUCCUUAAAUAUACAGUCCUUUGGGCUUAUCCUUAUCCUUGUUCUUGCUUUCGUUUCUUUGGGGGUGAGUUGCUAGCACAUGGAGGAAGGAGAUCUCAGUCGAUAGCAAACAGCAUGAGGAAAAGAAGCAGUGUGGACAAGGAAGCUGAAGUAAGGCUGGAGUCAAAGGGAUGCCUGAAUGCUUUCCUGAGAGGUGAUUUACUAGGGGUCCUAGGCCCAAGGUGUCAACUGAAGGGUUGCUGGUCUUGCACAGCUACAUGAAAUUCUAGUACUUUAAGAGUGUAAUUAAUUACAGCUAAGGGAAAUUUCAGUUUAGGGGCAGAGCCAGGACUGGCUCCAGGAGUUUUGACUCCUUGUCAGGUUUCCCUUUUUCUUCCCAUACUAUUUCUUGGGCUAAACAACUGAGGGAAGGGGGAGGGGGUGGGAGAGGCAUGGGAUGGAGUCUUGGACUGUGUUUUGGGGAAGCAAACCCAAAGUUCCUGAGAGGUGGUUGGCCACCUUUCUAGAGCCCUAAGAAAGGGUGGUAUUCUCUAUAGGUCUGGGAAAAUCCCAGCGAGAGAGCAAACAUACAGGGAGCCUUUAAGAUGCUAAGGAAAGGGGGGAGGGGAGGAGAAGCGGGGCAAGGGGUACUAGCUUUGAAAACAAGGGCUUGUGGGUGCUUUCAGGUUUCUUUUGAUGGCUUCUUUUGUGUGGUGGUGGUGUUUAGAGGCUUAAUUUGGGCUUGUUUUUAUUUGCUUUGGUUGGUGGUAAAAAAACAAAACCCCCGCUUAGUCAUCAGGGCAGGCAUAAUCAUGGCUAGCAGCCCAGACAAGAUCUGGAAUGACCCCUGCAUGCAUCUGUAGGAUGGAAAUCACACUCAGGAAGUGCAUGAUCUGGUGGGAAUUGCACCAAUAGUCAAAAAUCCCGGGUCCCCAGCGCUCGGGCAGCCGGGCCACGUUCACCAGCCCUCCCAGGAGGGCCAACGCAUCCAUUCGGAGAUAGCACAGCAGGGACCUCGGCGCACCAGUGCCCAACCCUAGCCACCGGAUCCCAAAUACCAGCAGGCGGGCGAUGGCUUGCCAGCCAAAGGCCUGGAGGCGGGCGGUAGUGGACAAAGCAGUGAGGGCCCACCAACCAGCCAUGACGGACAGGAAGGCAUACAUCACCAGGGCGAACAGGCGCAGGCAAGGCCAGCAGAGCAGGGUGCACUGGAUCAUGGGGAUGGCUCCGAGGCUGUUGGCCAGCCAGACCCCGCACAUAUCGAGGGCUAGGAGGUGGGAGU